rnacentral:rRNA from 1 species
UAGGGAAUCUUCCGCAAUGGGCGAAAGCCUGACGGAGCAACGCCGCGUGAGUGAUGAAGGUCUUCGGAUCGUAAAACUCUGUUAUUAGGGAAGAACAAAUGUGUAAGUAACUAUGCACGUCUUGACGGUACCUAAUCAGAAAGCCACGGCUAACUACGUGCCAGCAGCCGCGGUAAUACGUAGGUGGCAAGCGUUAUCCGGAAUUAUUGGGCGUAAAGCGCGCGUAGGCGGUUUUUUAAGUCUGAUGUGAAAGCCCACGGCUCAACCGUGGAGGGUCAUUGGAAACUGGAAAACUUGAGUGCAGAAGAGGAAAGUGGAAUUCCAUGUGUAGCGGUGAAAUGCGCAGAGAUAUGGAGGAACACCAGUGGCGAAGGCGACUUUCUGGUCUGUAACUGACGCUGAUGUGCGAAAGCGUGGGGAUCAAACAGGAUUAGAUACCCUGGUAGUCCACGCCGUAGACGAUGAGUGCUAAGUGUUAGGGGGUUUCCGCCCCUUAGUGCUGCAGCUAACGCAUUAAGCACUCCGCCUGGGGAGUACGACCGCAAGGUUG